rnacentral:rRNA from 1 species
GAAGGCAGCUUGCUGGACUGUAACUGACGCUGAGGCACGAAAGCGUGGGGAUCAAACAGGAUUAGAUACCCUGGUAGUCCACNCNGUAAACGAUGAAUGCUAGCUGUUAGCGAUAUACUGUUAGCGGCACAGAGAAAUCGUUAAGCAUUCCACCUGGGGAGUACGCCGGCAACGGUGAAACUCAAAGGAAUUGACGGGGGCCCGCACAAGCGGAGGAACAUGUGGUUUAAUUCGAUGAUACGCGAGGAACCUUACCUGGGCUUAAAUUGCAGUGGAAUAACGUGGAAACAUGUUAGCCUUCGGGCCGCUGUGAAGGUGCUGCAUGGUUGUCGUCAGCUCGUGCCGUGAGGUGUCGGCUUAAGUGCCAUAGCGAGCGCAACCCUCAUCGAUAGUUACUAACAGGUUAAGCUGAGGACUCUAUCGAGACUGCCGACGUAAGUCGUGAGGAAGGUGGGGAUGACGUCAAAUCAGCACGGCCCUUACGUCCAGGGCUACACACGUGUUACAAUGGGGGGUACAAAGGGCAGCUACCUGGCGACAGGAUGCUAAUCUCAAAAACCUCUCUCAGUUCGGAUUGGAGUCUGCAACCCGACUCCAUGAAGCUGGAUUCGCUAGUAAUCGCGCAUCAGCCACGGCGCGGUGAAUACGUUCCCGGGCCUUGUACACACCGCCCGUCAAGCCAUGGGAGCCGGGGGGACCUGAAGUAUGCAACCGUAAGGAGCGUCCUAGGGUAAAACUGGUGACUGGGGCU